GGAGUAAUUAGGUCUAGUGAUCUCCACCUGUGAAAUGCAGAGCUUGCUCACACAAGCUGAGAGCGGGAGCUUGAGGAAAGGCUGAGGAUCCAUGAAAGAACAACAUUGGAUUGGUGCUUUGGCUGUAAAGGAAUAACCUGGGUGUUCCACUUUGAAGUGAAACAGGCAGUCUCUUCCUGAAGAGCAGACCUUUGAAGGUCCCAGAUAUGCAGACCAAACACCAGCAGUGCACCAGUUACAGGAAGCCUUUUGCCGUGGGCACCUCAUCCGUGACAUGGAUCACAGUCUACAACUAAUUCUAGGGUUUAAUUUUUCCAGUUUCACUGCUCUUGCAACAUAACUUGUAAAUGUGCAGCUCAAAUCCUGUAACUAGAUAUCUAAACAGUGAGGAGACAGUCAUUUUCCAGUGAAGAAAAAACUUCUAAAAUGGUGGGAGUGGUGGCAUAAAGAUCCAGCUUUAUAUUAGGUCUAGUGUUCACACUGAAGCUCUUGUCUACUAUCUAGAAGAAAAUACAGCUUAUACAAAUCAUGCGUGUAUGAAAAUGGACACAUUGAGUCUCUCAGCAAACAAGAUUAUAAAGCAGGAAUCCUUCUGAUUUGGAUAACACUGUUAGGGCUGAUGUGAUUUCUUGGGGUUUCCUGUUCUAACAUACAUUGUAUUUGAAAAUGAAAACCAGCUGAGAGCAGUAUCACAUAAACCUAUUUUCCUGUUC